rnacentral:rRNA from 1 species
AGUGAACGCUGGCGGUAGGCCUAACACAUGCAAGUCGAACGGCAGCACAGUAAGAGCUUGCUCUUACGGGUGGCGAGUGGCGGACGGGUGAGGAAUACAUCGGAAUCUACUUUUUCGUGGGGGAUAACGUAGGGAAACUUACGCUAAUACCGCAUACGACCUACGGGUGAAAGCAGGGGAUCUUCGGACCUUGCGCGAUUGAAUGAGCCGAUGUCGGAUUAGCUAGUUGGCGGGGUAAAGGCCCACCAAGGCGACGAUCCGUAGCUGGUCUGAGAGGAUGAACAGCCACACUGGAACUGAGACACGGUCCAGACUCCUAAGGGAGGCAGCAGUUGGGAAUAUUGGACAAUGGGCGCAAGCCUGAUCCAGCCAUACCGCGUGGGUGAAGGAGGCCUUCGGGUUGUAAAGCCCUUUUGUUGGGGAAGAAAAGCAGCAGGUUAAUACCCCGCUGUUCUGACGGUACCCAAAGGAUAAACACCGGCUAACUUCGUG